UCUGUGACAUGUUUUCAUGGUGUGGGAAUAAGACUUGGUGGUCUAAUACAGCUAAUACGAAGGUUAGCAUCACAGCUUGUCUGUAAAGAUUGAAGCUGGGAGAGGGCAUUGGAGCUGACUUUUAUGGUAACGGUGGCUGCAUAAAAGGGCUAUGUGAUUUUACUGUAACAGUAAAGAAUGUAAUUCAGACUUUUUUUGUGUAUGUUUGAGAAAAUGUUUAUAAUUUUUACAAAAAGAAAAAAAAAUUAUGUACAGGUUCUCCAUUUUCAACAAGAUUGGAAGUUGUAGGUUAAUAGGUCUUUGAAAUUUCAAAAAUUACUUUCUAUUUUCUGUUCAUACUCAUGUC